UAAAUGGGCCAGGCCUCAUGAACGAUAAGCUCUAAAAAUUACCCGUUACAAACUGACACCCUCCAACGGUCAAAAGAAAACGGGAAUUCAAAAUUUUAAAUAAACAGUAUAGUUUUCAACGCGAUUCGCCUCCCAACGGUCAUUUGAUCAAUUCACUUUCUCUGAUCAUUCUAUCCAAACUACUCUCUCCCUCCAAAAGAUCAACUAGAAGAU
rnacentral:misc_RNA from 1 species